CAAUAGCGUAUAUUAAAGUUGUUGCGGUUAAAAAGCUCGUAGUUGGAGUUCUGCCAGGUGACGCUCGUCCGCCCAAGUGGUGUGUACAGGGCGUGCAUCUGGCCCUUUCAAGGGGAACGUGUCUGCACUUCAUUGUGUGGUGCGAGAUCCUUGACUUUUACUUUGAGGAAAUAAGAGUGUUCCAAGCAGGCUCUCGUCGUGCAUAGCUCAGCAUGGAAUAAUAGCAUUGGACCUCGUCUCUAAGCUGUUGGUUGCAAGAAGCGAGGUAAUGAUGAAGAGGGAUAGUUGGGGGCAUUCGUAUUUAACUGUCAGAGGUGAAAUUCUUGGAUUUCUGAAAGACGAACUACUGCGAAAGCAUUUACCAAGGAUGUUUUCAUUAAUCAAGAACGAAAGUUA
rnacentral:rRNA from 1 species